rnacentral:rRNA from 1 species
CCUCAGUAACUGCGAGUGAAGUGGCAAAAGCUCAAAUUUGAAAUCCGGUACCUCUGGUGCCUGACUUGUAAUUUGGAGAGACAAAUUUGGUUGACGGCGCCGGCCUAGGUUCCUUUGAACAGGACAACGUAGAGGGUGAGAAUCCCGUGCCUGGUUGGAGUGCUGUCGGAUUUGCUAAAUUGUCUUCGACGAGUCGAGUUGUUUGGGAAUGCAGCUCAAAAUGGGUGGUAAAUGUCAUCUAAAGCUAAAUAUUGGCGGGAGACCGAUAGCGCACAAGUAGAGUGAUCGAAAGAUGAAAAGCACUUUGAAAAGAGAGUCAAAAAGUACGUGAAAUUGCUGAAAGGGAAGCGCUUGAGACCAGACUCGAACCGUGGUGAUCAGCCGUGCUUCUGUUCGGUGUCACUCGCCGCGGUUUGGGCCAGCAUCGGUUCUGGCGGUCGGAUAAAAGGUGGAGGAAUGUAGCUUCCUUCGGGGAGUGUUAGUUAGCCCCCACCACAAUGCGGCCAGCCGGGACCGAGGGAUAUAUCGCGCUUCGAUGAAGCCAGGAUGCUGGCGUAAUGGUCUUAAGCGACCCGUCUUGAAACACGGACCAAGGAGUCUAACAUCUAUGCGAGUGUUCGGGUGGAAAACCCUUGCGCGAAAUGAAAGUGAACGGAGGUGGGAACCCGCA